GAGAGGACGAUCAGCCACACUGGGACUGAGACACGGCCCAGACUCCUACGGGAGGCAGCAGUGGGGAAUAUUGGACAAUGGGCGCAAGCCUGAUCCAGCAAUACCGCGUGUGUGAAGAAGGCCUUCGGGUUGUAAAGCACUUCCAAUGGGGAGGAAAACCUGCCGGUCAAUACCCGGUAGCUUGACAUUACCCAUAGAAGAAGCACCGGCUAACUCCGUGCCAGCAGCCGCGGUAAUACGGAGGGUGCAAGCGUUAAUCGGAAUUACUGGGCGUAAAGCGUGCGUAGGCGGUUCGUUAAGUCAGAUGUGAAAGCCCCGGGCUCAACCUGGGAACUGCAUUUGAAACUGGCGAACUCGAGUUGAGUAGAGGGGAGUGGAAUUUCAGGUGUAGCGGUGAAAUGCGUAGAUAUCUGAAGGAACACCAGUGGCGAAAGCGACUCCCUGGACUCAAACUGACGCUGAGGUACGAAAGCGUGGGUAGCAAACAGGAUUAGAUACCCUGGUAGUCCACGCUGUAAACGAUGUCAACUAGCCGUUGGUCCUAUUUACAGGAUUAGUGGCGCAGCUAACGCAUUAAGUUGACCGCCUGGGGAGUACGGCCGCAAGGUUAAAACUCAAAUGAAUUGACGG
rnacentral:rRNA from 1 species